ACACGAACCGUACGAACGUUAUUCGGAAUUACUGGGCUUAAAGCGUGCGUAGGCGGCCCGGCAAGUUGGGUGUGAAAUCCCUCGGCUCAACCGAGGAAUAGCGCUCAAAACUACCAGGCUUGAGGGAGAUAGAGGUGAGCGGAACUAAUGGUGGAGCGGUGAAAUGCGUUGAUAUCAUUAGGAACACCAGAGGCGAAGGCGGCUCACUGGGUCUCUUCUGACGCUCAGGCACGAAAGCUAGGGUAGCGAACGGGAUUAGAAACCCCAGUAGUCC
rnacentral:rRNA from 1 species